AAUGCGAAUGAUCAGACUCAACUACAAGGUCAAUAUUGUUUUUUGUUAACGAGAAAACAACGAACUAUCCGUGCAUUUACUUGGAACUAAGCUUUAGGAGCUUUCCAUCUUUACUCCCCUCCCUGUUACGUUGCAUUCGGAGAUGCAUUGUUUUUCACUGAUAAAGAUGGCU